UUUUAUAGAUGAGCAAAGAAGUGGUUUCUUGAGAUGGAAUCUACUCCUGGUGAAGAUGCUAUAAG
rnacentral:pre_miRNA from 2 species